UUUACCGUGGUCUGCGAGAGAGAUACAGAGAAAGAAAAAGAGAGAUGAAGAGAAAAAAAACAAAAAGAAAGGGAAAGGUGGAGCAUGAUGUAGGCAUGAUAACAUGUUUGUCUUUUGUGUGUGUGUGUGUUUAGGAUGAGUUCCUCUGAUGAAAAAGAGAUGGACACAGAAAGGGGGAGACCAGUUCAGAGAACGAUAUCUGCCUCAUCUGGAUCCAGCAGUGUAUCUUUUAAGAGUGAUCAGUCAGAGGACAGACCAUUUCAGAGAAAGAGAUCUGCCACAUCUGAAUCCAGCUGUGUGUCUAUGAAAAGUGAUCAGGAUGACUCUCCUGAGAA